rnacentral:rRNA from 1 species
GACGAACGCUGGCGGCGUGCCUAACACAUGCAAGUCGAGCGAGUGAAUCUCCUUCGGGAGUGAAGCUAGCGGCGGACGGGUGAGUAACACGUGGGCAACCUGCCUCAUAGAGGGGAAUAGCCUUUCGAAAGGAAGAUUAAUACCGCAUAAGAUUGUAACUUCGCAUGAAGGAGCAAUUAAAGGAGCAAUCCGCUAUGAGAUGGGCCCGCGGCGCAUUAGCUAGGUGGUGAGGUAACGGCUCACCAAGGCGACGAUGCGUAGCCGACCUGAGAGGGUGAUCGGCCACAGUGGGACUGAGACACGGCCCAGACUCCUACGGGAGGCAGCAGUGGGGAAUAUUGCACAAUGGGGGAAACCCUGAUGCAGCAACGCCGCGUGAGUGAUGACGGCCUUCGGGUUGUAAAGCUCUGUCUUCAGGGACGAUAAUGACGGUACCUGAGGAGGAAGCCACGGCUAACUACGUGCCAGCCGCCGCCGUAA